GUCCUCAGCGCGUAGAGCCAAAACAGUGGAAAUCAAAAGUUUAAGUUCUUUUUCCUGUACUUUUGCAUCUCCUCCUCUUCACUCCCUGACUGAACCAAAACACUUCUUCGCAGUUCCUCCUUCCACCAUAGCAGAAUAAAAAGUGUGAAACUAACUCACAACGAGAAAUUCGAGAGAAAAUGAAAAAAACGUUACUAACUCAAUGCCUUCAAAAACGGUUUGGAUAGCAACUAACCGUUUAACACUAAACGUCGUCGUUUCCGUUACCAUGAACUUAACACAGCGUCCCGUCGCCCAGCGCGGCGGCGCCAGCAACUUGCCGCGGCCGCCUCCUCCGCCGCUGAACUCCGUCUUCAACAUCAUCCCGGUGCACGACCUCCUCACGGACCACCCGUCGCUCCGGUACCCGGAGGUGCGAGCCGCCGCCGCGGCCCUCCGCACCGUCGGCGACCUCCCGAAGCACCAGUUCAUGCGGUGGGAACCGGAGAUGGACCUUCUGGACUGGCUCCGGUUACUGUUCGGUUUCCAACUCGACAACGCGCGGAACCAGAGGGAGCACCUGGUUCUCCACCUCGCGAACUCGCAGAUGCGCCUCGAGCCGCCGCCGGCGAUCGUCGACGCGCUCGACGCCGGUGUUCUGCGGCGGUUCCGGCGGAAGCUCCUCCACAACUACACCGCGUGGUGUUCGUUCCUCGGCCUGAAGUCGAACGUACUUCUCUCGCGCCGCCGCGACCCGACGGAUCUCCGCCGCGAGUUGCUUUAUGUUUCGCUGUACCUUCUGGUUUGGGGAGAGGCCGGUAACCUUCGUUUCACUCCCGAGUGUCUUUGUUAUAUUUAUCAUUUCAUGGCGAAGGAGCUUAAUCAUGUUAUAGAUGAGCACAUUGAUCCUGAUACUGGUCGUCCUUAUAUGCCUACGGUUUCUGGUGAAUUAGGGUUUUUGAAGUCUGUGAUUAUGCCUAUUUAUAAUACUAUUAAGGUUGAGGUUGAUAGUAGCAGAAAUGGAAAGGCUCCGCACUCUGCGUGGAGGAAUUAUGAUGACAUUAACGAGUAUUUUUGGAGUAGGAGGUGUUUGAAGAGACUCGGGUGGCCUUUGAAUUUUGAGUGUAAUUUUUUCGGGACUACGCCGAAGGAGAAGCGGGUAGGGAAGACGGGGUUUGUGGAGCAGAGGUCGUUUUGGAAUGUUUAUAAGAGUUUUGAUAGGCUUUGGGUGAUGCUGAUUUUGUUCUUUCAGGCUGCGGUUAUUGUUGCUUGGGAGGGUACCACUUAUCCGUGGCAGGCGUUGGAGAGAAGGGAUGUGCAGGUCAAGAUGUUGACUGUGUUUAUCACUUGGAGUGCUCUGAGGUUGCUUCAAUCGGUGCUUGAUGCUGGGACUCAGUAUAGCUUGGUUACGAGAGAGACCACGUGGCUUGGAGUGAGGAUGACGUUGAAGAGCAUGGUUGCCAUAACGUGGACUGUUUUGUUUUCGGUCUUUUAUGGAAUGAUUUGGAUUGAGAAGGGUUCUAGGCCAAUCUGGUCUGAUGCGGCCAAUCAGAGGAUUUAUACAUUUCUUAAAGUUGUCCUUUUCUUUCUUAUCCCGGAGUUGUUGGCAUUGGUGCUGUUCGUGGUGCCAUGGUUGCGGAAUGUCAUUGAGGAAUCGGACUGGAGAAUAGUAUACAUGUUGAUGUGGUGGUUUCAUAACCGGAUUUUUGUGGGCCGGGGUGUGAGACAAGCACUUGUAGAUAAUGUAAAGUAUACUGUUUUCUGGGUAGCAGUAUUAGCUUCAAAGUUUUCAUUCAGUUACUUUGUUCAGAUCAAGCCUCUAGUUGCUCCAACAAAGGCUCUUUUGAAUCUUAAGAGCAUUCCUUCUAAAUGGCACGAAUUUUUCAGCAACACCAACAGGGUAGCAGUUGUCUUGCUAUGGUUACCUGUUGUGCUGGUAUACUUCAUGGAUUUGCAGAUAUGGUAUUCAAUUUUCUCUGCCUUUUAUGGCGCGGCAAUUGGUCUUUUCUCGCAUUUGGGUGAAAUUAGGAAUGUAACACAACUCAGACUUAGAUUUCAGUUCUUUGCCAGUGCAAUGCAGUUCAAUCUGAUGCCAGAGGAGAAGCUGCUUAGUCAGCAAGCUACACUGUUAAAGAAGCUUCGUGAUGCCAUCCACAGGUUGAAACUGCGAUACGGACUUGGUCAGCCCUUCAAUAAGAUUGAAUCAAGCCAAGUGGAUGCUACCAGGUUUGCCUUAAUAUGGAAUGAGAUUAUGAUAACUUUCAGGGAGGAAGAUAUCAUCAGCGAUCGAGAACUUGAGCUCUUGAAGCUGCCGCCAAAUUGCUGGAAUAUUAGGGUUAUUCGAUGGCCGUGUUCCCUUCUCUGUAAUGAGCUACUUCUUGCUGUCAGUCAGGCAAAAGAGCUGGAAAAUGAGUCUGACCGGUCACUUUGGUUGAAAAUAUGCAAGAAUGAGUAUCGCCGGUGUGCGGUCUUUGAAGCUUAUGAUAGUGUUAAAUAUCUGUUUCCCAAGGUUCUUAAAGCUGAAAAAGAAGAGCAUUUCAUUAUGAUUAAUAUAUUCAAGGUCAUAGACAGCUACAUUCAGAUGGGGAAGUUAACAGAGGCAUUCAAGAUGUCUCGGCUACCACAGAUACAUGCCAAGGUGAGUGAAUUUGUUCAGCUUUUGAUACAACCAGAGAGAGACAUGAAUAAGGCUGUAAAUUUGUUGCAAGCUUUGUAUGAACUGUUUGUUCGAGAGUUCCCAAAGGCGAAGAAGACCAUCAUCCAGCUACGUGAGGAAGGUCUGGCACGACGAAGUUCAACAGCUGAUGAAGGACUUAUCUUUGAGAAUGCUGUGAAAUUUCCUGAUGCUGGAGAUGCAAUCUUUACUGAGCAGCUCAGACGAUUGCAUACAAUUCUUACUUCAAGAGACUCGAUGCAUAACGUUCCAUUGAAUCUUGAGGCACGACGACGAAUUGCUUUCUUUACCAAUUCUUUGUUUAUGAACAUUCCCCGUGCCCCCUAUGUUGAAAAAAUGAUGGCUUUCAGUGUUUUGACCCCAUAUUAUGAUGAGGAAGUAUUGUAUAGCAAAGAGGCUCUCCGAAAGGAGAAUGAGGAUGGUAUUACUACUUUGUUUUAUCUGCAGAAGAUUUAUGAAGAUGAAUGGAAAAAUUUUAUGGAAAGGAUGCAUAGAGAAGGGUUGAAAGAUGAGGAGGCUAUCUGGACAGAAAAGGCCCGGGAUCUCCGCCUUUGGGUAUCUCAUAGAGGACAAACAUUGUCUCGCACGGUUAGGGGGAUGAUGUAUUAUUAUAGGGCCCUUAAGAUGCUUGCGUUCCUUGAUUCAGCAUCUGAGAUGGAUGUAAGACAGGGAUCAGAACAUGGUUCAACAAACCAAAACAGCAGCUUAAAUGGCUUACCCUCAAAUGGGCCUUCAUCUUUACAGACAAAUCUCAGGCCGACAGGUAGCAGUGUGUCCAUGUUAUUCAAGGGACAUGAAUAUGGGAGUGCACUGAUGAAGUUCUCAUAUGUGGUGGCAUGUCAAAUGUAUGGGCGCCACAAGGCAGACAAGAAUCCCCGUGCUGACGAGAUAUUGUAUUUGAUGCAACACAAUGAGGCCCUUCGAGUGGCGUAUGUUGAUGAGGUUUCUUUAGGGAGGGAGGGGACUGAAUAUUACUCCGUUCUUGUGAAGUAUGAUCAGCAGUUGCAGAGUGAGGUUGAGAUUUAUCGAAUCCGGUUGCCUGGUCCUUUAAAGCUUGGAGAAGGGAAACCAGAAAAUCAGAAUCAUGCCAUAAUCUUUACACGGGGUGAUGCAGUUCAGACCAUUGAUAUGAAUCAAGACAAUUAUUUUGAGGAGGCUCUCAAAAUGCGGAAUCUGUUGGAGGAGUUCAAUAUGUCCUACGGUAUUAAGAAACCAACCAUUUUGGGGGUCCGAGAAAAUAUCUUCACGGGAUCUGUUUCCUCACUUGCAUGGUUCAUGUCAGCUCAAGAGACAAGUUUUGUGACACUGGGUCAGCGAGUUCUGGCAAACCCUUUGAAAGUACGAAUGCACUAUGGUCAUCCGGACGUGUUUGACAGAUUCUGGUUCUUGGGUCGGGGUGGAGUCAGCAAGGCCUCUAGAGUGAUUAAUAUCAGUGAAGAUAUUUUUGCUGGUUUCAAUUGUACUCUGCGAGGUGGCAAUGUGACACAUCAUGAAUAUAUACAGGUAGGCAAAGGAAGAGAUGUUGGUUUGAAUCAGAUAUCCAUGUUUGAGGCCAAGAUUGCUAGUGGCAAUGGUGAGCAGGUCCUGAGCAGAGAUGUGUACCGGCUUGGCCAUAGAUUAGACUUCUUUCGCAUGCUUUCAGUGUUCUACACAACCAUAGGAUUUUACUUUAACUCCAUGGUUAUUGUACUGAUGGUUUAUGCCUUCCUUUGGGGCCGCCUUUAUAUGGCUCUCAGUGGUAUUGAACAUGGUAUAAAACAUGCAGCCAUGAAUAAUGCUACCAACAAUAAAGCCCUUGGUGCAGUCCUAAAUCAGCAGUUUGCAAUCCAAGUUGGUAUCUUCACUGCUCUCCCAAUGGUUGUCGAAAACUCUCUUGAGCACGGGUUCCUUCCAGCUGUUUGGGACUUCUUGACAAUGCAGUUGCAGCUUGCAUCACUAUUUUAUACAUUCUCUUUGGGAACUCGCACACAUUUCUUUGGUCGUACUAUACUUCACGGUGGUGCUAAGUAUCGAGCAACUGGUCGAGGUUUCGUGGUGGCGCACAAGAGUUUUGCUGAGAACUAUCGACUAUAUGCUCGAAGCCAUUUUGUGAAGGGUAUUGAACUUGGGGUUAUUUUAAUUGUGUAUGCUGCUCAUAGUCCCUUGGCUAGGGAUACUUUUCUGUACAUAGUUAUGACAAUCUCAAGUUGGUUUCUUGUAGUUUCAUGGAUAAUGUCUCCUUUUGUCUUCAAUCCAUCUGGCUUUGAUUGGUUGAAGACUGUAUAUGAUUUUGAAGAUUUUAUAAAUUGGAUAUGGUAUCCUGGUGGGCCCUUCAAAAAGGCAGAAUAUAGCUGGGAAACAUGGUGGUACGAGGAGCAAGACCAUUUAAGAACAACUGGUAUAUGGGGAAAGCUGUUGGAAAUCAUUUUAAAUCUUAGAUUCUUCUUCUUUCAGUAUGGCAUUGUUUAUCAGCUGGGUAUUACAGGUGAAAAUAAUAGUAUAGCCGUUUACUUGCUGUCUUGGAUAGUCAUGGUUGUGCUUGUUGGCAUUUAUAUCAUCAUAGCAUAUGCCCAGGAUAAAUAUGCUACAAAGGAGCACUUAUAUUAUCGAUUAGUUCAGCUUCUUGUGAUUGUAGUCACAGUUCUUGUACUUUUCCUCCUACUGGAGUUUGCUCAUUUAAAAUUUCUUGAUCUUCUAUCAAGCUUCUUGGCAUUCGUUCCAACAGGAUGGGGAAUGAUUUCAAUAGCCCAGGUGCUUAGGCCUUUUCUGCAGACAACUAAAGUGUGGGAGACUGUUGUUUCCUUGGCCCGUCUAUAUGAUUUGCUGUUUGGGGUUAUUGUUAUGGCUCCAAUGGCAAUGCUAUCAUGGUUACCUGGAUUUCAAUCAAUGCAAACUAGGAUUCUCUUUAACGAAGCUUUCAGCAGGGGUCUCCAGAUAUCUCGAAUAGUUAGUGGCAAGAAGUCUGUUUAAGAUGGUAAUUGGAGGUCUCACCUUAAACCAAAGGGCUGCUACUAAUGCCUAGUUACUGAGAGAUGCGUUUCUGUAUUUUCCCAAGUAGUAGUAUCAACUUGAUAGUGGACCAGUACAAGUUACCAGUUUCUAACACAAGGUUGAUGACAACUAAUGGCAAGUCAAAGCUUGUUAAGUUGCCAUGGCAAAUGGAUGCCUACAGAUAAAUCCAUGUUUUUCAAUGUGAAUCCCUAAAAGGUUUAGCCUUGUUUCAGUGUCACUGGUGGCUCAAUGUGUGACAUUCCCAUUGACAUUAUCUAUCAAGGAAGGAGUCUCUGAUUGCUGCCCUGUAAUUUUCCUGCUACACAGGUUGUGAAUCUCUGUAGUUUAGUAUUGGAGGAUUAUCAGAUGUUUUUGCCUGUCUGUAAUUGACAAUUGACUUGCUGUACAUUCUGUUCAUAUGUAGUGCAACCUACUCUAACCAAACAUGACAUCGCCACUGAAUCAACGAUAUUUUAGGCUUGAUAUUGUUUGUCAUCAUGCACCUUUUGUCGAAUAGCUGCCAUGGCCAUGAAUCCUGCACGCAUGAAUACUAUAAAAAUCUUGCCUUGUUGUUUA